rnacentral:rRNA from 1 species
CCUACGGGUGGCAGCAGUGAGGAAUAUUGGUCAAUGGCCGGAAGGCUGAACCAGCCAUGCCGCGUGAAGGUCAGUGCCCUAUGGGCGUUAAACUUCUUUUGUGCGGGAGCAAUAAUGGUCACGUGUGGCCAGACGAGAGUACCGUACGAAUAAGCAUCGGCUAACUCCGUGCCAGCAGCCGCGGUAAUACGGGGGAUGCAAGCGUUAUCCGGAUUUAUUGGGGUUUAAGGGUGCGUUAGCUGUGAGGUAAGUCAGCGGUGAAAUGCCCCCGCUCAACGGGGUGAAGUGCCAUUGAUACUGGCUGGCUUGAAUGCGGAUGCGGUGGGAGGAAUGUGUGGUGUAGCGGUGAAAUGCAUAGAUAUCACACAGAACACCGAUUGCGAAGGCAGCUCACGAAUCCGCGAUUGACGCUGAUGCACGAAAGCGUGGGUAUCAAACAGGAUUAGAUACCCCUGUAGUC